GAUCUCUGACCUGCGUUCUUAGCUGGGACGUCGAGUUCUCCCAGGAUAAUUAUCGACCAGCUGCCAUGUAAGACGUGCCUUUCAGCUUCCACCAUGAUUGUGAGGUCUCUCCAGCCACAUGUAACUGAGGCACAAGAAGAGGUCAUGUGAAUGCACAGCAAGAAGGUAGAUCUGCAAACCAGAAAGAGAGCUCUCACCAGAAGAAGGCCAUGCUAGUAUCCUGAUCUGAGACUUCCAGCCUCCAGAACAGGCUCGGGGUUGCCCGCUCCCGGAAUCCCGGAGUCUCCGCGGCCCGAACCGAGUCUGGACCAUUUAGAAGACGCCGGCAGGUAACUGGCCUCCCCAAACGCCCCGAAAAUUAAAAGCCUUAGGAGGCUUGUUCUGUGUUUGUGGUUUUGUAAAGG
rnacentral:lncRNA from 10 species